rnacentral:rRNA from 1 species
CCUACGGGAGGCAGCAGUGGGGAAUCUUAGACAAUGGGCGCAAGCCUGAUCUAGCCAUGCCGGGUGUGUGAUGAAGGCCUUAGGGUCGUAAAGCUCUUUCGCCAGAGAUGAUAAUGACAGUAUCUGGUAAAGAAACCCCGGCUAACUCCGUGCCAGCAGCCGCGGUAAUACGGAGGGGGUUAGCGUUGUUCGGAAUUACUGGGCGUAAAGCGCACGUAGGCGGAUUAGUAAGUUAGAGGUGAAAUCCCAGGGCUCAACCCUGGAACUGCCUUUAAUACUGUUAGUCUUGAGUUCGAGAGAGGUGAGUGGAAUUCCAAGUGUAGAGGUGAAAUUUGUAGAUAUUUGGAGGAACACCAGUGGCGAAGGCGGCUCACUGGCUCGAUACUGACGCUGAGGUGCGAAAGUGUGGGGAGCAAACAGGAUUAGAUACCCUGGUAGUCCACACCGUAAACGAUGAAUGCCAGUCGUCGGGCAGUAUACUUUCGGUGACACACCUAACGGAUUAAG